AAAUACAAAGAAUAUAACUGUACUUCUAACUUAGAUUAUAUAUCAUUUUGUUGCUUAGUCUGGUAAACCACAGCCACCAGCACGUCCUCCUCCACCAGCAAUUUCUACAGCACCUGUAGUCACUGCUCCUGGUUUAGCAACUACUGGGAUAUCACCUGCUCCCGUGGGUUCUGCAGCUAAUGUAGCUUCUUCACAGGCCCAGGGACCACCUUAUCCAACAUAUCCAGGAUAUCCUGGAUAUUGCCAGAUGCCUUUGCCAUUGGCCUAUAAUCCUUAUAUGUAUGGCCAAUACAAUCUUCCAUAUACACCAUCACCUGGGUACCAAAAUCCUGGACAAGCUUCUUAUCCAGGACCACAGCAACCUGGAUACCCUUAUCCACAACAGCCAUAUUAUCCACAGCAAUAACAUUUCAGAAAAGAAACAUUGCUUGUUAUAACUAGGAGUAAUUUGCAAUAAGCAUACUUAUAAUUCAGCUAAUGUACCUCACUAUAUUGAAAUGGUUGAUAACGUCCUUUCCUAUUAAUACUCCAAAAUACAUAUUUUCUCAAUUGAAUUCUGGUUAUAUCAGAUUUGUUGAGAAAGUGGCAAGCUACUACAAUAUUAAAUUAACAGAAUUAGACUUUAGUGAAAUUCAAUUUAUGUAUUAAUUUACCUAUACCAAAUGUUUCCCUUCUAUAAAUAAAUAUUAUAUAAUUGAUCUAAAACAAAAUGGCACAAGCAUUGGUCUGAUAUAAAAUAUAAGAGUAAAUAGAAUUUCUAUAUUAUAUUGGUUUGUAUUUUGGGUUUGCUUUUAGUUACCAAUAAGUUUUGUUUAAAGCAUCGUAAAUUGUAAGUGCAAAAUAAACUGCAUAAGAUAGUUUGAAAAUUAUACGUAGAUAUUUUAUAUUUGGCUAUAACUAAUGUAUGUUUUGGAAGCUAGAGCACCUUGUUUGGCACUGCUUUUAAAGCUAAAAAUUUCUGCAAACCAAUCAUGGUUUCUUAUAUUAAGUUCCUGUAAUAUAUAAACAAUCUCAAAAAUCAAUAUGUUAUUCCAGAAUAAGAGAAAAUAAAUCAGCAUAUUUUUAUUGAAUCAUUCAAAACCUAGCUUGUAAGGUAUUCAUUGGAGAUGUACACUUGACAUUUUGUUAUUUUACUUCUGGCCUAUCUAAUUUUAUCUAAUUGUGUUGUUUUUUGAAAUGCUAAAAUUUCAGUUGUCCCCUGCAACUUGCCUUUAUCCUACCUCAUUACAUGUGCCUCUGUAUAUACAAAGAUGAUCCUGUGCAACCUACUUUUCUUGGGAUGUCUAAAGAAAACUUAAGCUACAAAUGUGGAUGAAUAAAAAUAAUUACAUUUAUUUGACCAAUUUACUCUGUUUGCAAGGUUUUGAAAAGAACAAGAACCUCAUGCUGCAAUUAAAUAAGAUUCUACUAGAGUUGUUUGUCUUAAAUCCAUAACAAACAUCCUGCAUUUAAAUGUAGUUCAUGCCUACAUGCCCAGCCGAGAAGUCUUGUGCAGCUCACCAGCAUUUUU